CGUCCUGCACUAAAGCAAGAAUACCCGCCGAACUUAAGCAUAUCAUUAAGCGGAGGAAAAGAAACUAACCAGGAUUCCCCCAGUAACAGCGAGCGAACAGGGACGAGCCCAUCCAUGAAGCACCGCGCGCGCGACGGACGCUUGCUCGGUGCCCUUUGGGGUUACUGAGGCCACGCUAUCCUGAUCAGCCGCAUCACGGUGAAGUUACAUUGAAGGUUACAACCAGAGAGGGUGCCAGUCCCGUAACCGUGAUGCGCUGCCGUGUGCCCAACCCCCGGUCGGUAAUACGACGGGGAACGGCGUAUCAGCCCCGUAGCCUCAAGAGAGUCGAGCUGCUUGAGAGUGCAGCUCAAAGAAGGUGGUAGCUCCCAUCUAAGGCUAAAUACAUGCAAGAGGCCGAUAGCGAACAAGUACCGCGAGGGAAAGAUGAAAUAGCACCCCGGGAAGGGGGGUGAAAAGAUCCUGAAAUCAGCAAGGUGGAAGCAUUCGCGGAUACCAUUCUGCCUGCCGCAUAGCCCGGGUUUGAUCGCUCGGGUCGCGUCACGGAUCCAGUACCGAUCAUGAAGGCCGGGAGCUACCCGUCACGCGUGACGGGUCGUGCACUCCCCCGCCCACCCGAUCGCGGUAACGCAGUCGACACCGGUGGAUGUAUCACCGGUGUGCACGUACUGGGGAAAUAUCCAUGAAUGACCCGUCUUGAAACACGGACCAAGGAGUCUACCACGUAUGCGAGUCACUGCGCCGCGAGACGCACGGGCGAAAGAAACCUGACAACACGGCGUUUACGCCUGCACCGGUCGCACCGAUGUUACGCCCCCCGGGUCUAAGGAUGGGGUGUGUACUAGCGGAUCCGGUGGGAGCAUGCGUGUUAGGACCCGAAAGGUGGUGAUCUAUGCCUGGGCAGGGUGAAGCCUGGGGAAAUCCAGGUGGAGGCCCGAAGGAAUGCUGACGUGCAAAUCGCUUCUCUGACCUGGGUAUAGUGGCGAAAGACCAAUCGAACCACCUAGUAGCUGGUUCCCCCCGAAGUUUCUCACAGGAUAGCUGGGACUCACGCAGUUGCAUCGAGUAAAGAUACUGGUUGUGUAUCCGGGGAUGCGUAUAUCUUCGGACCAUUGUCAAACUCUGAAUCGGUGUUCGCGGCGCUUGCUUAGGUGAAGCGUCCGCACUAAUGCGAGUCUCAAGUGGGCUAGUUUUGGUAAGCAGAAUUGGCGAUGCGGGAUGAACCGGGUGUUGCGUUAAAGUGUCUAACUGCAUGCUAACCUAGAUCCCAGAAAGGGUGUCAACCGGUAUGGACAGCAGGGCGGUGGUCAUAGAAGUCGAAACCCGCUAAGGAGUGUGUUAUAACUCACCUGUCGAACCGGUAGGCCCCGAUAAUGGAUGACGCUGAAGCACGCGACUUAGACGCAACCGUCGGAGCGAUCGAGCUUCGAUCGGGUAGGGGGGCGUGGAUGCAGCACCGAAGCACGAGGCGUAAGCCUGUGUGGAGCAACAUCUAGUGCAGAUCUUGGUGGUAGUAGCACUUAUUCAAACGAGAACUUUGAAGACUGAAGUGGAGAAGGGUUCCGCGUGAACAGCAAUUGUUCGCGGGUGAGUCGAUCCUAAGAAUCAGGGUAGAUCCGUUCUCAUCCGUAUUCGAAAGGGAGACAGGUUAAUAUUCCUGUACCUUGGUAUGACUCGAUGGCGGUAACGCAAGUGAGCUCGCAGACGCCUGCACUCGUCACGGGGAGAGCCCUCGCCUCUCUUUUAUAUUCAACAUGCCCCGGAGAAAGGUGAACUUGAGAAAGGGUUACGUGAAUAGUAUAACCCGGUUCGGUCUGCCGGGUCCGAUGCGCGAGGAGCAAGCCCAUGAAAAGUGAGGGAGCAACAGGAGUCUUCUUCCAAGAUCGUACCCAAAACCGCAUCAGGUCUCCAAGGUGAGUAGCCUCUAGUCGAUAGAACAAAGUAGGUAAGGGAAUUCGGCAAAUUAGAUCCGUAACUUCGGGAUAAGGAUUGGCUCUGAUCGCCGCGUGGAUGGCAACCGCUGCGGACGUGCGUAGUUAUGUAUCCCAAAGCUGAGUAACUACCGGGCGGUAUUUACACACAGGUCGGUGGCGCCACCGAGGGGCAGCGGUGUCCCCAUCUAACCGGUCCCUCAUCGGUACAAGGAUUGACCCCCGGUCGUAACGCGUCUCGUGUGCUAGUGCAACGGGGGUGAUGCCGCGGACGAGCGUGGCGUGCGGGAUGCACGGGAGCUGCGGACGUGCGCAGUUAUGUAUCCACACCGCUUGUCACUCGCGUAAAAUACGGAACCGGGCGAGGGCUCUCCUGUACCCUGGUGCUACCGCGGGUGUCCCGGGACACGCAUCGGCUUUGAAAUCUGGUAUCCACACACGCGGCUAUAUUAGAACUGGCGCGGACAACGGGAGUCCGACUGUUUAAUAAAAACGUAGCAUCGUGAUGGUCCCUGCGGAUGUUGACACGAUGUGAAUCCUGCCCAGUGCUCUGUCCGUCAAUCCAGAGA
rfam:Lotharella sp. CCMP622 18S ribosomal RNA gene, internal transcribed spacer 1, 5.8S ribosomal RNA gene, internal transcribed spacer 2, and 28S ribosomal RNA gene, complete sequence; nucleomorph.